CUGGGCAGGCGGCGCCGGAGCGAUUCCCCGCGCCAGCCCGGGCGGUUCCGGCCCGCCGCGGCCGUCCCGCGCGCCCUCCGCUGGGUCCCCGCUCUGCGGCGCGCGGCCUUCCCGGGAGGGGGGCCCGGCGGACCACGGGCCCACUUCCCGAGACCUCGGCGCGGCCACGUGGUGUGGCAGUGGUGUCGGGCGGCCGGCCCCGGGCGCCAGGACGAGCGCGUCCCCCGGGGAACCUCGCGGGGAGCGCGGACCCCGGCGACGACGAGACCCGGGUUAGGACGCGCGGCGCCGGCUCUUCUGGAGCCAGGAGUGCAGGCCAGACAGCCAGUUGCAAGUCAUAUGAUCUUCACUGACUCAUCACCCCAUCUGAUUAACAUGACUUUGGAGAACAUUGAACUGUUUGCUCCUGGCAGCCACCCUUCUCUCUGUCUCUAUGAAUUUGUCUACUCUAGGAAAGGAAGAGGACACCUUUCAACCAGAAGAUUUCAACACAAUUUAAAAUAGAUCCAAUACAACGUGGUAAACAAGCUCCCGUGGAUGGGUUGCGCAGUGGCAGCCCUGUGGUGCCCGCCUCACCUGGACACACGCAGUUGCACCUGAUCCCCUGCUGGAUGAAGUCUGUGGCCACGGACUUCGUGAGGCCAAUCACAGCCGCCUUGGUGGCGCUGUACACACAUCUGUUCAUAACUCCUGAGGUGAAAGGAAGACUCAACAAUCGAAGGAACAAAACAACAGUCUCCUUGAGGAAGGGAACACAACUGACUGUCCCCAGGAACCACUGUCCUGUUUCCUGCCAUCCCACCCUUUUUAAAAUUUGGUGUCAGGUUUUCUCCCUGCAGAGGGCCGGUUUCUGACUGUGGGAAAAUAAUAUCGUUCCUGGCACAACUCAGUCGAGACUGAGGGUUGAGAACCUGCACUUAGGUGAUGGCAGCGGUCUUAGGUUUUCAUCAUCGGUGGGCAGAACCCUUGGGCGGAUUCCAAAAGAGAAUCAGGGGAAAGAACAACAGAACAAACACCAGACCAAAAAACGAAGAGGCCUGUGGCCUCUCUGCCUUCCUGUCUUGGACAGGCUUACGGGUGUUCUUGAGUUGAGGAGGGACGCCACCUCCGCGGUAACUCUUUCAUUUGAAGUGUGCAAGUCCGUCUGCCGGACUGUGAUGUCAUUUCCAUUUGGCACUGCAGUCCCGGCUCUUGGACUUGACUUGUGUUUGGGGCCCAGAUCAGCCGACCUGGGGAAGCACUCCCCCAUAUCAGUGGUGCCAGCGCUUUGCACAAACCCGGCUGGUAAUACUGUCACACUGCAGAAGAUGUGCACUUGCCCGACCCUCCCCCUUGUGGACUGUGAGGGGCACAUAGCGUUCGAUACAUCUUUCUUGGCUAAUUAAAUGGAUAAAUAUUUCCUUCUUCCAGCUUGAUUUUCAUGUUCACAUCCAUUAGAAGGAAUACAAGGAAGGGCAAAUGAAACAAAUUUAUUUUUUACGACUGGUUUACAACGAAGGCAAAAAAGACUGACAGGCAUGUAGGUAGGUCCGGAGGCAUGGAGACCCAUGAAUGCUUUGGGGGCAGGAGCAACACCUGAAGAGCACUCCUGCCCAAUGGGCACUACCUUCUCAUUGAAAUCAGGCUUGGAGGAUGACCAUAAACAAGGCGGGGCUGGUGGACACGGAGAGUGGUCAAGAGUUAUAACAAGCGCUGGGAGGAAAUGGAAGACCACCACCAGAGAACAGAGGAAGGAAGAGCAGGACAUGCUGUGCCAUGAAAGUAAAGUAAAAAGUUUCUAAGAAGAAAGCGUCUCAACAGUCAGUGUAGAGGGAGAAGUCGCUUCUGCUUCGGUGAGUUGCUCUAGCCGCUUUCAGACCAAGAGGUGCAGGAAUGGAGAAAUGACUUUGUUGGUCAUGGGUAUCAUCACUUACGUCUGGACUAAACUGCAAGAAGAAACGAGAGGCCAGAAGAAGAGAUGAAAACACUGACCGUGAGAGAUCUGGUGCGGGAUCUGAGAGAGACACGCUGUACUAGCUACUAAAAAAAAAACAAAAACAAAAAACCAAACCAAAACAAAACAAAAACCCUAAACCAACAAAUAGGCUUUUUGGUCAUUUUUAUGAUUUUAAAAAUAAUAUGGUUUAUUUUAUUCUUCCCUUUUGGAUAUAGAAAAGAAAGAUUAUAAAUGAAGAAGGGGAAGACUAAAAUUGAGCUUCAGAAGAACUUCCUUUGCUUUGUGCUUUUCUAGGACAGCAGCUUCCCUUAGACUUGUUGAAAUGGUAUCUCCACACGGUCUAAUUCAGUUAACUGAUUCAGUGAACUCAGUUGUGUUUGAUCACGUAGUCAGUUCUAUUUUGCCAAAACAGUUAACUUUCAAAUGAGUUCUAUGUCCUGAUUUCUUUCUGAGUAACGCCAAUUGAAGCCCUCUGAUGGUGGAAUUAAGGUUCGGUGUGGUGCAGUGAGGGACAAUAUGCACCCAAACAAGUUAAUCUCUUACAGUUUCUGAUCAUGAUGUGAUUUCAAGGCUGAGCUGU